rnacentral:rRNA from 1 species
UACGAAGGGUGCAAACGUUGCUCGGAAUUAUUGGGCGUAAAGCGCACGUAGGUGGCAUUGCAAGUCGGAUGUGAAAUCCCUCGGCUUAACCAAGGAAGUGCAUCCGAAACUGCAGUGCUUGAGUACUUAAGAGGAUCGCGGAAUUCCCGGUGUAGAGGUGAAAUUCGUAGAUAUCGGGAGGAACACCAGUGGCGAAGGCGGCGAUCUGGGAAGAUACUGACGCUGAGGUGCGAAAGCGUGGGGAGCAAACAGG